GAGUAUAUAUAUAUAUUAUAUAAAUUGAUAGUCCAUCUCGAACCACACUCCAUACCAGUAUGUGGCGGUAAUGCUACUUAAAGUUUGUUGUCAGCCGCCAAUAAACUCAAGAAGAAGAAGAAGAAGAAGAGGUGUGUGUGUCUUUGCUUCCCCUACUACAUGACGGCUUCACAAAUGGCUGGUGUGCUUGAUCCGCUCAUCUGAAUCCGUUGCUCGGCUGGCGUUAGCGGCUGCAGCUGGAGGUCGUUGCGGCUUCCAUCUAGUCCUCGCCUGCUGAUCCGCUCUCUGCCUGGGUCGGCUGUGCUACCACUCCUGGGAUUGUUUUGGAGUUGCAGCGCUUGGACGCUCUGCUGUCUUGUUGUGCCGGUGUUUGUUUGGGCCGCUCUGAAGGAAACCUGUUGCUGAUUGGACAGGCUGAGGGAGCGGGGCAGGACUCCUCUGGCCCCAUUUGAAAGGCACUGAUAUUGGACAACGACGAUUUGUUCCACCGUUUAAAGUGUUUUAUUUUUUUCUUUUACAGUUUGUUUGCUUGUUGUUGAAAUUAUUAAUGAGUUUGCUUUCUUUUAUUUUGACUGACUAAUUUGUUUUCUUUUGCAUUACAUGUUUUGUUUGUUCAUUUAUUAUUAUUUGUUUUUGGAAUAAUUCAAACUGUCAUUUUAUUUCACAUGAUCCCUUUUCCUUUCCAGGAACAGAGUAGUGGGCCUGAAGCCAUGCUUUUAAAAGGAAAUGUUUUAAUGAAAUUGUUUAAAUAAAAUAUUGUAAA